CGAGAGCCCUUCGUAUUGGCCGUUAUAAAGGAGAACAUAAUUAUUCAUCUGAUUACAAAUAUAGAUCAACGACUGUAUCAGCAGGUGCUAUAUGGGGAUAUGUAGUUGGAACAAUUGUAAUCGUUGUUAUUUGUAUGAUUUGUUGUUGUUAUUGGCGACGUAAAAGAAGCUUGUAUGAACACAUGGAACAGACUAAGCGGUUAACAGCAGCAAUACCAAGAAAAAUGACAUUAACAGAUAGAAGAAAGGAACCAAUAGUAAUGUUUAGUUGUCGUCAUUCCAAUCAACAACGACAUCUUGAUUUUUUACCACCUCAGCCAAUAGAAGAUAGCGGCUUCCAUGAAUGAAAUGCAAUCAACAUGUACAAUCAUCCUUAUAUACUGAGUGCCAAUGAAAACGCAACACUUUUGGUUUUUCAAAAAAAUCUUAUAAUUUUUAUUUUAUUCAUAUUAGAACUUUGUAUAGUUGGUUUAAAAUGACUGUUGAGACAAUCGACGACAACUUUACGGUUGAGUGAUUUUUGAAACAAAUGCGAAGUAAGGGUUAUUUUUAAUGGACAUAAACCGAGUUCACCGCUUUUCAACAUACGCACCAUUUUCACGAUUUUGUCAUUUAAAGCUUGGCUAAUGUCAUGAAUUUUCCCGCCCUUAUUGUAAGGAAACUGCAAUAAACUUCUGAGUUAAUGCCAGGACUUUCUGACAACCAGCGACAUGCAGUUUUGGGUAUGAUCCAAUGAAGCCUUUGACGGCAUACAAUUACGAGAAGACUAAAGUUGUAGCCUCUACAAUAACCCAAAUCAUCCACAAAUUCAACCAAAAUGGAUCAUUUAAUGAUAAGCGACAUCCCGGGGUACAAAAAGCAAGAAACGCUCAGCCAGACCGAUACAUUUGGCCUUAAACAUAUUCGAUAUUGACUCUGA